rnacentral:rRNA from 1 species
CGCGUAGGCGGCUUGCCAAGUCAGGGGUGAAAUCCUGCAGCUCAACUGUAGAAGUGCCUUUGAUACUGGCGAGCUCGAGGGAGGUAGGGGUGGGUGGAACUUCUGAUGGAGCGGUGAAAUGCGUUGAUAUCAGAAGGAACGCCGGUGGCGAAAGCGACCCACUGGAUCUCUACUGACGCUGAGGCGCAAAGCUAGGGAGCAAACG